AUGUGUGGUGGUCUUCUCCUGCUGGUAGCAGGGGGAGCUGUGUUUUACUGUUGCUCCAAAAAACGUGCAAAAGCAAAAGAAAAUGAUCAGACUCCUAUGGAACAAGCUAUUCCACUAAACAAUGGUAUGUUUCAUUCUGAACCAGAUCAAGUGAAGAAAAUACAAGCAAAGCAAGGACAAACUAUCACCCUAAACACUGGUGUUACUAAGAUACAGAGAGAUGAUCAGCUAAGGUGGAAAUAUGCUGAUUCCAGAGUAACUGAUUCCACAACCUCAUUUAGGGUCAUCGCUGUAGGCAAAGAAAAGACCAAUAAGUUUUCAGUAAAUAAUGGUCCUGGAAGGAAAUUCAAAGACAGGCUAGAGCUGGACCAUCAGACUGGAAAUCUCACCAUCAAGAACAUUGAAGUCACAGACACUGGGCAUUUUAAAGUAGAGAUCAAGAGCAACACCAAUCCACUUACAAAAACAAUCAAAGUCAAUGUCCUUGAAGAGGACCCCAACAACACUACUACAUAUACUCUGGAGUUGACCGACACGGAUGAGGCCACGGAUGAGGAGUUAUCAUAGUCAUAAAUGGUGGGGAACGGCAACACAAGGUCACAUGACAAUGCUAGUAUGGCAGAUGUAGUAAAUAUGGAUUGUAUUCAUAUUAUUUACAUGCAUACUCACAGAACCUACUUUUUAAAUGGUUGAGAAGAUAUUCAUCAAGUGAGGUGUGUAUUCUGACAGUAUGCAAAAACAGGUGCAUGUUAUGUGCUAAGGUUUUCUUUGGCAUUGCUAGGUCAACAUACUUCUUAACUGAAGUAUAUUAUGUGAAAGAAUAUUUUGCAGAUCAAGCGAUGAAUAAUUAAACCCUGAUUUUUUUAAAUGUAUACAUUAAAUGUAAUUAUUUUAUUUUUCAUGCAUGUUUUCUGUUGGCUGUUUGACUCAUAUUUCAUAUUUUGGGAAUUAUCCAAUCAGAUCCUAAAGAUCAUGAGAAAUGUUACACUAACUGUAAAUGUACAGUUAACAGUGCUAUGUUACUCUCUCCAAAGGAUUCCUUUGACACUAUUAGAUGUAUGUAAAUAGGAUUUUAGAAAAUAUUUUUUCAUUAUUUUGCUGUGUACAUUUAUUGAGGAUCAUUUUGGUGAUACAAGAGUCCACUUUUAAUAUUACUCCAAUAAUUCAUUAAGGGGCCAAGCACAAAUAAAUGACAUACCAUACUAGUAUGUAGAGGAACU
ensembl:lncRNA